rnacentral:lncRNA from 1 species
UUAUCAUGGUUCCUUUAGGAACCCAAGUCAGUUUGUUUGGACUUAUUUUCUUGAAUGGACAAUAAUGCGUCUUGUGUCCAAAUUUGUAACAAAAGUUGCAUUUGGUUUUGUGUUGAACAUGUAAGAUGGGGCCUUUUAUGAAGGUGGUUGGAUUUAGGUGAGGACUUCUCACAAAUCCAAUUCCACUCCUUUUUGGAACGUGACCCUUGUUUGCAAGGAUCAUGUUCAAUGACUUGCUACC